ACAAUGGUGUUUUUCAACACCACUAAAACAACAGUGUUUUUCAAU
rfam:Picea glauca, whole genome shotgun sequence.